GCGGAUGGCUGGAUGACCGCGGGGGCCAAAGGGGCGACCCUGGGCCCACGAGGAAAGUCCGGACUCCGGAAAGCACGGUGCCGGGUAACGCCCGGCCGGGGAAACCCGAGGGAAAGCGCCACAGAGAACAGACUACCCCGACCUGGUCGGGGAAAAGGUGAAACGGUGGGGCAAGAGCCCACCGCGGGACGGGCAACCGGACCGGCACGGCAAGCCCCACCGGGAGCAAUGCCAAAUAGGGGUUCCGCGCCGCAAGGCAGGGAUGCUUCAGCCCGAGGAACCCGGGUUGGCAGCUAGAGGUCCGUCGGCAACGGCGGAUCGAGAGGAAUGGUCAUCCAGGGGGCUUCGGCCCCCGGACAGAAUCCGGCUUACAGGCCGUCCGCGCGC
rnacentral:RNase_P_RNA from 2 species